rnacentral:piRNA from 1 species
UAUUUGACGUUUUAUUUUGGUUUUCCUCA